rnacentral:rRNA from 1 species
UACGUAGGGGGCAAGCGUUGUCCGGAAUCAUUGGGCGUAAAGCGCGUGUAGGCGGCUUGGUAAGUCCGCUCUGAAAGCCCGGGGCUCAACCCCGGGAGGCGGGUGGAUACUGCCAAGCUCGAGUCCGGAAGAGGAGUGUGGAAUUCCUGGUGUAGCGGUGAAAUGCGCAGAUAUCAGGAGGAACACCAAUGGCGAAGGCAGCACUCUGGGACGUGACUGACGCUGAGACGCGAAAGCGUGGGGAGCAAACAGG